rnacentral:rRNA from 1 species
UGGGGAAUUGUUCACAAUGGGCGCAAGCCUGAUGACGCAACGCCGCGUGGGGGAUGAAGGUCUUCGGAUCGUAAACCCCUGUCGAAUGGGACGAAAGACUCGCGAGUGAAUACUUCGCGAGAGUGACGGUACCGUUAAAGGAAGCCACGGCUAACUCUGUGCCAGCAGCCGCGGUAAUACAGAGGUGACAAGCGUUGUUCGGAAUUACUGGGCGUAAAGGGCGCGUAGGCGGCCCUCUAAGUCAGACGUGAAAUCCCCGGCUUAACCUGGGAACUGCGUCUGAUACUGGAGGGCUUGAGGAUGGGAGAGGGAUGUAGAAUUCCAGGUGUAGCGGUGAAAUGCGUAGAUAUCUGGAGGAAUACCGGUGGCGAAGGCGGCAUCCUGGACCAUUACUGACGCUGAGGCGCGAAAGCUAGGGGAGCAAACGGGAUUAGAUACCCAUGUAGUCCCUGAGCGGGCUGGCAAGGCGCAU